rnacentral:rRNA from 1 species
CGGCACGCCUAACACAUGCAAGUCGAACGAAGUAGCAAUACUUAGUGGCAGACGGGUGAGUAACAUGUAGGUAUCUGCCCUUUGGCCUGGAAUAACACGAGGAAACUUGUGCUAAUACCGGAUAAGUCUUUACGGAGAAAGCUUUAUGCACCAUUGGAUGAGCCUGCACUUGAUUAGUUUGUUGGUGGGGUAAUGGCCUACCAAGACUGUGAUCAAUAGCUGAUUUGAGAGGAUGAUCAGCCACAUUGGGACUGAGACACGGCCCAAACUCCUACGGGAGGCAGCAGUGGGGAAUCUUGCACAAUGGAGGAAACUCUGAUGCAGCGAUGCCGCGUGAGUGAAGAAGGCCUUUGGGUUGUAAAGCUCUUUCGUCGGGGAAGAAAAUGACUGUACCCGAAUAAGAAGGUCCGGCUAACUUCGUGCCAGCAGCCGCGGUAAUACGAAGGGACCUAGCGUAGUUCGGAAUUACUGGGCUUAAAGAGUUCGUAGGUGGUUGAAAAAGUUGGUGGUGAAAUCCCAGAGCUUAACUCUGGAACUGCCAUCAAAACUUUUCAGCUAGAGUAUGAUAGAGGAAAGCAGAAUUUCUAGUGUAGAGGUGAAAUUCGUAGAUAUUAGAAAGAAUACCAAUUGCGAAGGCAGCUUUCUGGAUCAUUACUGACACUGAGGAACGAAAGCAUGGGUAGCGAAGAGGAUUAGAUACCCUCGUAGUCCAUGCCGUAAACGAUGUGUGUUAGACGUUGGAAAUUUAUUUUCAGUGUCGCAGCGAAAGCGAUAAACACACCGCCUGGGGAGU